rnacentral:rRNA from 1 species
AGUGAACGCUGGCGGUAGGCCUAACACAUGCAAGUCGAACGGCAGCACAGUAAGAGCUUGCUCUUACGGGUGGCGAGUGGCGGACGGGUGAGGAAUACAUCAGAAUCUACUUUUUCGUGGGGGAUAACGUAGGGAAACUUACGCUAAUACCGCAUACGACCUACGGGUGAAAGCAGGGGAUCUUCGGACCUUGCGCGAUUGAAUGAGCCGAUGUCGGAUUAGCUAGUUGGCGUGGUAAAGGCCCACCAAGGCGACGAUCCGUAGCUGGUCUGAGAGGAUGAUCAGCCACACUGGAACUGAGACACGGUCCAGACUCCUACGGGAGGCAGCAGUGGGGAAUAUUGGACAAUGGGCGCAAGCCUGAUCCAGCCAUACCGCGUGGGUGAAGAAGGCCUUCGGGUUGUAAAGCCCUUUUGUUGGGAAAGAAAAGCAGCAGGUUAAUACCCCGCUGUUCUGACGGUACCCAAAGAAUAAGCACCGGCUAACUUCGUG